AAUCUUUCAGGAGAAAAAAAAAGACCUAGUUUCGCAUGCUGAGCAGUUCCUAGGCCUGUUUGUCUGAAAAAAAAUAUAUAAUUGAGUAUGUGCUUGCGUUCCGUGGUUUCUUUAUUAAGCUUGGUCAGAUUUGGGGGACAAAUGCUUAUAUGCCCAAUCAUAGCACUAGUUUUGGAGGUUAGGGUUAAGACUAACCUGAACCAAUGGCAUUUGAUGAGGAUAUACGUGUAGAUCUUCUGGCUUGACUCAGACUGCGUAAACCCCGGCCCCAGCAGAUUUACCAAAGCUAUUUUCUACCGUUUUCUCGUGGAAGCUAACAGUAGCAUGGAAGUGAUGCUUAUGUAUAUAUGGUAUCUCGAUCGAUCUGAAUUGGGUGGGUUGCGUACGUUUUGAGUACAAUGAUUCGAUUAACUGCUGAGAUGGGGAGAAUUAAAAUAGUUUGAUCUUGUUAUUUGGCAAUGGUGGGUCUGCAUCCAUGAUUCAACUCCUCCAGCUUGGAAUGAGCAAAACAAUGAGGGCCUUUUUUCUCAGAAAGACACAAGCUGCAGCCACUGACAUGGUGGUCCGUAUACUUCAUGAUACUACACAUACACAAGUGAUGAGAAGUAGCGAGAGAGAGGUGUGAUGCAUGCAAGAGGAAGAGGGCUGUGCGUCCGGACGGGCUUGCAUGGCUUGUGCUGGAGUGUGGGGUUCUUGCACUAUAUAAGCCAGAAGCUAAGUUGGUGGGAGGCAUGCAUGCAUGCCUUUGUUGCUAACUCUUAUUCGUGUUUGACAUCUUCAUCCCAUGAAAAGCAAUGGCUGGGAAGCAUCAGCUUCGAAGGUACCACAUUGCUGGGGGUCGCUAUCUCAUCUCUAGCUUUCUUUCUCUAAUGCUUUCACCUGCCUACUUGCUGAGUUCCUUUGGACAUAAUCACCAAUAUACUCUGGUAGGUGAGUUCCAUUACUGUUCUGCACUUCUGCCCUUGUUUUUGCGUCAUUAUCCUAAUUUCCAUAGCUUUGUCAUUUCGUUCUCUGUUUUUUGGACACAAACUUUAUCUGUCAGCUCACCAUACAAAACUAGAUUAUCUUUUGCUCUUAAAUUCAUUAGUUCUCUGUAAAUAAAGAUACUUGAUUAUGAUGUGCUCUCUAUAAAAUGGAUUACUACUGAUGUAGCUAGCUAGUAAGACACAUGAUUUUUCAAACUUCUUAGCGCUCCGUCCAGCUUAUGCGUACAAGAGAUCAACUGAUCAUGGACAAUUAAUCUUCUACUGAUACUUUGUUAAAUUUCUUGGACCCAUCCACAUGCAAUGAAUGCUUAUAUAUGGCUUGUUUAGUUUUCUUCUCUUUAGCAUUCAAUAUGAUGUAAUUGGACUGCUCUGUUUAUGAUCUUGAGUUCUUCCAUGCAUGCAUGGAUGCCUACUUUCUUCUAUAUAUAUCUUCUGGUUGAUUGUAUUCACCGUUUUGAACUAAUUCGAUCAUUCUCUACACAAACCUGUGAUUACACUUGCUAGCAGGUAGUCCAUCCGUAAUUAAUAUAUGCACCUACAUUUCCUCUCUGAUGAUUACUUGAUUAGUUGGUUGAG